GACGAACGCUGGCGGCGUGCCUAAUACAUGCAAGUCGAGCGAGACUCUUCGGAGUCUAGCGGCGGACGGGUGAGUAACACGUGGGCAACCUGCCUGUAAGACUGGGAUAACACCGGGAAACCGGUGCUAAUACCGGAUAAUCCUUUUCCUCUCAUGAGGAAAGGCUGAAAGUCGGUUUCGGCUGACACUUACAGAUGGGCCCGCGGCGCAUUAGCUAGUUGGUGAGGUAAUGGCUCACCAAGGCGACGAUGCGUAGCCGACCUGAGAGGGUGAUCGGCCACACUGGGACUGAGACACGGCCCAGACUCCUACGGGAGGCAGCAGUAGGGAAUCUUCCACAAUGGACGAAAGUCUGAUGGAGCAACGCCGCGUGAGCGAUGAAGGCCUUCGGGUCGUAAAGCUCUGUUGUUAGGGAAGAACAAGUACCGGAGUAACUGCCGGUACCUUGACGGUACCUAACCAGAAAGCCACGGCUAACUACGUGCCAGCCGCCGCAGUAACAC
rnacentral:rRNA from 1 species